rnacentral:rRNA from 1 species
GGGCAUGGCGGAGCUAUACAUGCAGUCGAGCGAACGGACGAGAGUGCUUGCACUCUCUGAUGUUAGCGGCGGACGGGUGAGUAACACGUGGGUAACCUACCUAUAAGACUGGGAUAACUUCGGGAAACCGGAGCUAAUACCGGAUAAUAUUUAGCUUCGCAUGAAGCAAUAGUGAAAGACGGUUCUGCUGUCACUUAUAGAUGGACCCGCGGUGUAUUAGCUAGUUGGUGAGGUAACGGCUCACCAAGGCAACGAUACAUAGCCGACCUGAGAGGGUGAUCGGCCACACUGGGACUGAGACACGGCCCAGACUCCUACGGGAGGCAGCAGUAGGGAAUCUUCCGCAAUGGACGAAAGUCUGACGGAGCAACGCCGCGUGAGUGAAGAAGGUUUUCGGAUCGUAAAACUCUGUUGUAAGGGAAGAACAAGUACGUUAGUAACUGAACGUACCUUGACGGUACCUUACCAGAAAGCCACGGCUAACUACGUGCCAGCAGCCGCGGUAAUACGUAGGUGGCAAGCGUUAUCCGGAAUUAUUGGGCGUAAAGCGCGCGUAGGCGGUCUCUUAAGUCUGAUGUGAAAGCCCCCGGCUCAACCGGGGAGGGUCAUUGGAAACUGGGAGACUUGAGUGCAGAAGAGGAGAGUGGAAUUCCAUGUGUAGCGGUGAAAUGCGCAGAGAUAUGGAGGAACACCAGUGGCGAAGGCGGCUCUCUGGUCUGUAACUGACGCUGAGGUGCGAAAGCGUGGGGAUCAAACAGGAUUAGAUACCCUGGUAGUCCACGCCGUAAACGAUGAGUGCUAAGUGUUGGGGGGUUUCCGCCCCUCAGUGCUGCAGCUAACGCAUUAAGCACUCCGCCUGGGGAGUACGGUCGCAAGACUGAACUCAG